AGAGUUUGAUCCUGGCUCAGAAUCAACGCUGGCGGCGCGCUUAACACAUGCAAGUCGCACGAGAAAGUGGAGCAAUCCAUGAGUACAGUGGCGUACGGGUGAGUAACACGUGGAUCAUCUACCUCUUGGUGGGGAAUAACCCUGGGAAACCGGGGCUAAUACCGCAUAAGCCUGCAAAGGGAAAGCAGCAAUGCGCCGAGAGAGGAGUCCGCGGCCGAUUAGCUUGUUGGUAGGGUAACGGCCUACCAAGGCAAUGAUCGGUAGCCGGCCUGAGAGGGCACACGGCCACACUGGCACUGAAACACGGGCCAGACUCCUACGGGAGGCAGCAGUGGGGAAUCUUGCACAAUGGGGGAAACCCUGAUGCAGCGACGCCGCGUGAGCGAUGAAGCCCUUCGGGGUGUAAAGCUCUUUCGGCAGGAACGAUAAUGACGGUACCUGCAGAAGAAGCUGCGGCUAACUACGUGCCAGCAGCCGCGGUAAUACGUAGGCAGCAAGCGUUGUUCGGAAUUACUGGGCGUAAAGAGUGUGUAGGCGGUUCUCUAAGUUCCGUGUGAAAUCUCCCGGCUUAACUGGGAGGGUGCGCGGAAAACUGGAGGGCUGGAGUAUGGGAGAGGAAAGCGGAAUUCCUGGUGUAGCGGUGAAAUGCGUAGAUAUCAGGAGGAACACCUGCGGUGUAGACAGCUUUCUGGAUCAUCACUGACGCUGAGACACGAAAGCGUGGGUAGCAAACAGGAUUAGAUACCCCCGUAGUCC
rnacentral:rRNA from 1 species